CAUAUGCUUGUCUCAAAGAUUA
rnacentral:siRNA from 1 species